CAGUAGUGGGUAGUUAUCCAGUAAUGGAUAGUGGCAUAGAUCAUGGGUCCAUGCAUAGUAGUGGGAAGUGGCAAAGAUCAUAGGUCUUUAUUUAGGUUAUAUAAAGCAUCUCUUUUUCCAUAUUGUAGACAGAUUAUCAAUUAUUCAAUACAAUUGCUUUAUGCGAUUCUUCUUUGAGAGCUUAAGAGAGAUCUUGGUUCUUGACACUGCAUCACGAAUAAGGUUCGAUACUAACUUGUAUGUUUCAUAUUCUUGCUGUUUUUAAAAUCAAUCAGUUAUAAGUGUUCUUAAUUGCAUGUUAAUUAAGGGUGCUUUAGAUUGGGGAAUUGUUUUCUGAACUAAGUUCUUUUUACUAGGGUAUGUGUCGUUUCAGUCUCUAAUAGGCUGGGGUUCCGCGUCAAUUGGUAUCAGAGCUAGGCUUAGUAAUAAUUUCUUAACUAUCCUGUGUCUUUUCUUCAAUUCUUCAUGAUCUUUCCGUUUGGGAUACCUACCAGAGUCGAAUACAUUGUUUAGUUGCCGUUCAAAUCGUAUUUUACCCUAAAUUCUUGUUUAGGCAAAAUUACUAUCUUUAGUGGUUUGGUUUGUGCUUUCUGCCCUAAUUCGUAUGCUCCUAUUCUAACACUCUUAGAAUAGUAUUUUCAGUGUUUUACUUUAGUCCAUAUAAAAAAAAAUACCAAAAAGAAGAAAAAAAAAAAGAAAAAGAAUUUCUGCAAUUUGAGUCAAUUGUUCAAACUUCAUUUUGAUAUUGAUACCAGCUGGUACAAAUCAUAUUUCAUAUAUCUUGAACAUAUUUCAGGGUUUGGGAUUCAAAAUACAUGUUUGGGGUAGGUUUAGGGCAAAUUUGGGUAGUAUUUUCACAAAAAUAGUUUUACUUAAUACUUGCUGUUUUAAGUGUCUUUUUCGUUUGCUUGCUUUGAAUUGUUUUUGUUGAGUCAAUAUUAAGAUGAGUUAACCUAGGAUUGCAUGCUUAGGGAUAACUUCGUGUUAAACACAUCCGUCUUGUUAAUUUUUUAUUCUUAGUUUGUCAAUUUGGUGUCUUUCUGUUUGUUGGUUCCUUACACUUAGUUUGACAAAUUGCACAUUGUUGAACAUCUAAUUACACUUAGUACACGAAAUUUCACUUUUGUGUGCUAAAUCAAUCUGUUUGUUUAUUUUGGUCAGUUUGCAUCUAGUGUUGUUUCCUAUCUUUUCUUGUUAGGUUUUUCCUUGCUUUCCUUAUUAUUUGAAUCAUACAAGCUUGGCUUAUUGAGUCUUUAUUCUGAAGUGCACUUUUGAGAUACCAAGAGACUGCUUGAAAGUUAAACACGUGAGUUGAGAGAAUUGUGAAUUUUUCUAUAAUGUCUGGGCAUAAUACUGGUGAUACUUCUGACCCUACGUUUGAUCUUAAAGAUAUGUAUAAAGCUUUCAUGGAUAGCUUUCAGAAGCUAAAUUUGAGAAUGGAUAACCUUGAGGACAACCUUAGAUCUUCAAAGGGCAAGUCCAAUCAGGGGGAUGAUGAUACACACGAUCCAUCCUAUGAAGAGGAAAAUGUGGCACAAUCAGCCCCUUUCCGAGCAAGAAGGUUCAAUGAUUGUGUACCCUAUGUAGAUAAUAAUAUGAAUUCCAUAAAGAUGAAGAUUCCAAGCUUCAAUAGUAAGGCUGAUGUUGAUGCCUAUUUCGAGUGGGAGCGUAAAGUGGAGAUGGUUUUUAACUGUCAAAGCUAUUCCGACGAUAAGAAGGUAAAACUUGCUGUCCUUGAGUUUUCAGACUAUGCACUAAUAUGGUGGGAUGAGCUUGUGAAAUCUAGGAGAAGGAAUGGAGAGUUACCCAUUGCUAGUUGGGAAGAGAUGAAGCGAAUCAUGAGGAAGAAAUAUGUGCCUACUUAUUACCAUAGAGAUCUCUAUCAUCAGUUGCAAAGAUUAACCCAAGGAUCAAAAUCUGUUGAUGAGUAUCAUAAGGAGAUGGAGUUGCUCCUGAUCAAAGCAAACAUAGUGGAGGAGGAAGACCAGACCAUGGCUCAUUUCUUUGGUGGUCUAAACAAGGAGAUUGCUGAUGUGGUUGAUUUGCAACCAUAUGUUGAUUUGGAAGACUUGGUGAACAUUGCCAUUAAGGUGGAAAGACAAAGAGGCCGAAAUAGAUGGGGGAGUAACAGGGCUGCUCAAAACUCCAACAGCAAAUGGGGUUCCAAAUGGAACACCAACACUGAUCCUAAAAGGUUUGAUAAGUCUUCAACUCAAAAAGGCAUGUUACCUUCCAAAGAAACAUCCAACUCUCAUGGUAAAAAUGAAUCAGCCCCUAAAUCUAAUAGGACUAGAGAUAUUCAGUGCUUUAAAUGUAAAGGGCGUAGGCAUUAUGCCAAUGAGUGUGUUAAUAAACGUGCCAUGAUAGUGAGGGGAGAUGAGAUAGUCUCCGAAACUGAUUCUGAUUCUGAUGAAAUACCACCUUUAGAAGAUUGUUCUGAUGUAGAGAUAGAAGAGUAUCCUGUUCAGGGAGAGUCCUUGGUCAUAUUGCGUACUUUAAAUGUUUCUAUUAAAGAAGAGGGGCUUGAACAGCGUGAAAACAUCUUUCACACUCGUUGUUUGAUAGGUGGUAAAGUCUGUUGCAUGAUAAUAGAUUCGGGUAGUCAAGUUAAUUGUGCUAGUACUAUUUUAGUUGAUAAAUUAGGACUAGAAACUAUUAAACACCCUAAUCCUUACAGACUUCAGUGGUUGAAUGAUAGUGGCGAGGCAAAGGUAACCAAGCAAUGUAAGGUGUCAUUUUCUAUUGGCAAGUAUGUAGAUGAGGUUACUUGUGAUAUUGUACCCAUGCAGACUGGACAUAUUUUGUUGGUUAGACCAUGGCAAUUUGAUAGGCGUGUCAUUCAUGAUGGGUAUAGUAAUAGGUUUUCUUUUACGUUCCUUGGCGCAAAACAUAUACUUGUACCAUUAUCUCCUAAAGAUGUAUAUGCAGAUCAAGUAAAAUUACAACAAUAUGCUAAAUUGGGUAAGGAAGGUGAGACAAGUAAAAAGAAUGAGGGAAAAGAGGCCAAUAGUAAAAAGAAGGUUUCAAAUGGCCCAAAGGAGAGUGACUGCACAGGAAAGGAUAAAAAUGAGAGACGUACAGGAGAGAAAACGUUAGUGAGUGUGGAGGUAAAAGGAGAGUUGAGUGAGAGGAGUGAAGAAUUCAGCAAGUCUUCCUUUUAUUGUAAAGAGAGAGAGUUGAAGAAGGCAUACUUAGGGAAGAGAGCUUUGAUUAUGUUGCGUUUUAGUUUCAAUUUUAUGAUUGAGACUAACCCUACUAAUGAAUUGCCUAGUUCUUUUUCUAUGUUAUUGCAGGAUUUUGCGGAUGUAUUUCCUGAGGAGGUGCCAUCUGGGUUGCCACCCAUUAGGGGAAUAGAACAUCAGAUCGAUUUUGUUCCUGGAGCUCAGAUUCCAAACCGUCCAGCUUACUGGAGUAAUCCUGAGGAGACGAAGGAAUUGCAGAAGCAAGUUGAUGAGUUGCUAGCUAAGGGACAUAUCAGGGAGAGCCUCAGUCCAUGCGCAGUACCUGUUUUGUUGGUUCCAAAGAAAGAUGGAACAAUGUGCAUGUGUGUUGAUUGUCGUGCGAUCAACAAAAUCACUGUAAAGUAUCGCCAUCCUAUUCCUAGAUUAGAUGAUAUGCUUGAAGAAUUAUGUGGUGCUGAUUUGAAAAGCGGUUAUCAUCAAAUUAGGAUGAAGUUAGGUGAUGAGUGGAAAACUGCCUUUAAGACUAAAUAUGGUUUAUAUGAAUGGUUAGUGAUGCCUUUUGGCUUAACUAAUGCACCUAGCACAUUUAUGAGAUUGAUGAACCAUGUUUUGCGUGAUUACCUAGGUAAGUUUGUGGUUGUGUCUUUUGAUGAUAUAUUGAUUUAUAGCCGAAACCAUGAUGAUCACAUUAGGCAUGUUGAACUUGUUCUACAAAAGUUGCGUGAACAUGAAUUGUAUGCUAAUCUUAAGAAAUGCACAUUUUGUACUGAUAGUGUCAUAUUCCUAGGAUUUAUUAUUAGUUCACGGGGAGUUGAGGUAGAUACUGAAAAGGUUAAGGCUAUCCAAGAAUGGCCUACACCUAAGAAUGCUAAUGAGGUGAGAUCCUUUCAUGGAUUAGCAAGCUUCUAUAGGAGGUUUGUUAGAGAUUUCAGCACUAUUGCUGCACCUCUAAAUGAGAUUAUUAAAAAGGCUGUUGGGUUUAAAUGGGGUAAAGAACAUGAACUUGCAUUUAACACAUUAAAAGAAAAACUUAUUGCUACUCCUAUUUUAAGGUUAUCUGAUUUUUCUAAAACCUUUGAAAUCGAAUGUGAUGCUUCUGGGAUUGGUAUUGGUGCUGUUCUUAUGCAGGAAGGCCAACCCAUAGCAUAUUUCAGUGAGAAACUAGGUGGCGCACAUUUGAACUAUUCCACCUAUGAUAAAGAGUUUUAUGCACUGAUUAGGGCUCUUGAAGUUUGGGAGCACUACUUGCUGCCUAAUGAGUUUGUGAUUCAUACCGACCAUCAAUCUCUCAAACACUUGAAGGGACAAGGUAAGUUGAACAAGCGGCAUGGUAAGUGGGUUGAGUAUCUCGAAAUCUUUCCUUAUGUGAUUAAAUACAAACAAGAUAAAGAGAAUGUGGUAGCUGAUGCAUUAUCUAGACGUUAUGCAUUGACUUCCAUGCUUAGUUCUAAUUUGUUAGGGUUUGAGCAUUUGAAAGACAUGUAUGAGAAUGAUACUGAUUUUUCUGAUGUAUUCAAGGCAUGUAAACAUGGGGCGUUUAACAAGUUUUAUUUGCAUGAUGGGUUUCUUUUUAGGGGGAAACAAAUAUGUAUACCCAAUUGUUCAGUGCGUGAGUUGCUUGUUAGAGAAUCGCAUUCAGGAGGGUUAAUGGGACAUUUUGGUGUGCAAAAGACUUUAGACAUGUUGAAUGAACACUUUUAUUGGCCUAACAUGCGAAAAUAUGUAGAGAAAAUUUGUGCUCAAUGUUUUGCAUGUAAACAAGCUAAAUCUAAGUCCUUGCCACAUGGGUUGUAUACUCCUUUGCCUGUACCUACUGAACCUUGGACUGAUAUUUCUAUGGAUUUUAUGAUAGGCUUACCUAGGACAAAACGAGGUAGAGAUUCAGUGUUUGUUGUUGUAGAUCGCUUUAGUAAGAUGGCACAUUUUAUUCCAUGCCAUAAAACUGAUGAUGCAACAAACAUAGCUGAUUUGUUUUUCAGGGAAGUAGUCCGUUUGCAUGGUAUACCUAGGACUAUUGUUUCUGAUAGAGAUUCUAAGUUCCUUAGUUAUUUCUGGUGUGUUUUGCGGGAGAAAUUGGGUACUAAGCUUUUAUUUUCUACUACUUGUCAUCUACAGACAGAUGGCCAAACUGAAGUUGUUAAUAGGACUUUAGGAACUAUGCUUCUUGCUAUUGUGGGAAGGAACUUAAAAACUUGGGAAGAAUGUUUGCCAUAUGUUGAAUUUGCUUAUAAUCGCGCUGUCCAUUCUUCUACUGGUUAUUCAUCUUUUGAGAUUGUGUAUGGUUUUAAUCCAUUAACUGUAUUAGAUUUAAUGCCUUUACCUUUGAACGAGUUGUCUAAUUUAGAUGGAAAAGCGAAGGCUGAAAUGGUUAAAUCAACACACAUGAAAGCGCGUGAGCAUAUUGAGAAGCGUAACAAAAUAUAUGAGAAACAGGCCAAUAAAGGUCGCAAGAAAGUUGUAUUUAGACUAGGUGAUUGGGUUUGGAUCCAUAUGCGAAAGGACAGGUUUCCUAAUCUAAGGAAAUCAAAACUGGAUGCUCGAGGGGAUGGACUAUAUCAAAUGCUGAAACGGAUCAAUGACAACGCAUAUAUAAUUGAUCUGCCAGGUGAGUUUGGUGUAAGUGCUACCUUUAAUGUUUCUGAUUUGUCUCCUUUUGAUUUUGGUACAGAUUCGAGGACGAAUCAUUUUCAAGAGGGAGGGAAUGAUGUAAGCACAACCAACAACACUGAUGAGCUAGCAUUGCCUCAAGGAACAAUUACAAGGUUGAGAUCCAAGAGGUUGAAGGAAGCACUUCAAGGAUUCAUAAAGGAAUAUGCUGAAGCUUUGCAAGUUCAUUUUGAAAUUGAAGAACAAUCUGGUUAUUCCAAGUCAAUUAGGCCGAAUGUGUUCUUAUUGACAGUUCAAACUUUGUAUUUAUAGUGGGUAGUUAUUUAAUAGUGGGUAGUUAUUUAGUAGUGGGUAGUUAUUUAGCAGUUGGUAGUUAAUCAGUAGUGGUUAGUUAUCCAGUAGUGGGUAGUUAACCAGUAGUGGGUAGUUAUCCAGUAGUGGAUAGUGGCAUAGAUCAUGGGUCCAUGCAUAGUAGUGGGAAGUGGCAAAGAUCAUAGGUCUUUAUUUAGGUUAUAUAAAGCAUCUCUUUUUCCAUAUUGUAGACAGAUUAUCAAUUAUUCAAUACAAUUGCUUUAUGCGAUUCUUCUUUGAGAGCUUAAGAGAGAUCUUGAUUCUUGACACUGCAUCACGAAUAAGGUUCGAUACUAACUUGUAUGUUUCUUAUUCUUGGUGUUUUUAAAAUCAAUCAGUUAUAAGUGUUCUUAAUUGCAUGUUAAUUAAGGGUGCUUUAGAUUGGGGAAUUGUUUUCUGAACUAAGUUCUUUUUACUAGGGUAUGUGUCGUUUCAGUCUCUAAUAGGCUGGGGUUCCGCGUCAAUAAGUAAAAAA
rnacentral:lncRNA from 1 species